rnacentral:rRNA from 1 species
GACAGAGGGUGCAAACGUUGUUCGGAAUUACUGGGCGUAAAGCGCGUGUAGGCGGCUUUGCAAGUCGGGCGUGAAAUCCCACGGCUCAACCGUGGAAGUGCACUCGAAACUGCAGAGCUAGAGUCCUGGAGAGGAAGGUGGAAUGCUUGGUGUAGAGGUGAAAUUCGUAGAUAUCAAGCGGAACACCGGUGGCGAAGGCGGCCUUCUGGACAGUGACUGACGCUGAGACGCGAAAGCGUGGGGAGCAAACAGGAUUAGAAACCCCGGUAGUCC